GUUUCGCGUGUUAGUGCUUGAUGUUCUGGCCAUCCUUCCAAUUGCUAUUCAUCUUUCUUCAUUGAUGGGUGAGUGGUAUUGGAUCUUUUACUUUGAAAAAAUUAGAGUGUUUCAAGCAGGCUUCUUGCUAUGAAUACAUUAGCAUGGAAUAAUAAUUUAGGACUUCGGUUCUAUUUUGUUGGUUUCUAGGACUGAAGUAAUGAUUGAUAGGGAUAGUUGGGGGUGCUAGUAUUCAGCGGCCAGAGGUGAAAUUCUCGGAUUCGCUGAAGACUAACUUAUGCGAAAGCAUUCACCAAGGAUGUCUUCUUUAAUCAAGAACGAAAGUUGGGGGAUCGAAGACGAUCAGAUACCGUCGUAGUCUCAACCAUAAACUAUGCCGACUAGGGAUGAGUGAACGUUGCAUUUUCGACUUCAUUCGCACCUUAUGAGAAAUCAAAGUCUUUGGGUUCCGGGGGGAGUAUGGUCGCAAGGCUGAAACUUAAAGGAAUUGACGGAAGGGCACCACCAGGAGUGGAGCCUGCGGCUUAAUUUGACUCAACACGGGAAAACUUACCAGGUCCAGACACAGUAAGGAUUGACAGAUUGAAGAUCUUUCUAGAUUGUAUGGGUGGUGGUGCAUGGCCGUUCUUAGUUCGUGGAGUGAUUUGUCUGGUUAAUUCCGAUAACGAACGAGACCUUAUUCUGCUAAAUAGACAGACUCAUUUUUUAAUGGGGUUGAAGGCUUCGGUCUUUGCUGUC
rnacentral:rRNA from 1 species